rnacentral:rRNA from 2 species
CGAACGGUAACAGGAAGCAGCUUGCUGCUUCGCUGACGAGUGGCGGACGGGUGAGUAAUGUCUGGGAAACUGCCUGAUGGAGGGGGAUAACUACUGGAAACGGUGGCUAAUACCGCAUAACGUCGCAAGACCAAAGAGGGGGACCUUCGGGCCUCUUGCCAUCAGAUGUGCCCAGAUGGGAUUAGCUUGUUGGUGAGGUAACGGCUCACCAAGGCGACGAUCCCUAGCUGGUCUGAGAGGAUGACCAGCCACACUGGAACUGAGACACGGUCCAGACUCCUACGGGAGGCAGCAGUGGGGAAUAUUGCACAAUGGGCGCAAGCCUGAUGCAGCCAUGCCGCGUGUAUGAAGAAGGCCUUCGGGUUGUAAAGUACUU